rnacentral:rRNA from 1 species
UACGUAGGGCGCAAGCGUUGUCCGGAAUUAUUGGGCGUAAAGAGCUCGUAGGCGGUUUGUCGCGUCUGCCGUGAAAACUGGAGGCUCAACCUCCAGCCUGCGGUGGGUACGGGCAAACUAGAGUGCGGUAGGGGAGAUUGGAAUUCCUGGUGUAGCGGUGGAAUGCGCAGAUAUCAGGAGGAACACCGGUGGCGAAGGCGGGACUCUGGGCCGAUACUGACGCUGAGGAGCGAAAGCGUGGGGAGCAAACAGG